rnacentral:misc_RNA from 1 species
CCCAGGCAAAGCCGGUAGAGGAUGGCGAUCGAGCGCCCCAGCGGCGGCAGCGUGCCCGUCGUGCCGACGGUCCGCCAGGCCCGCCGCAGCUCGGCCAUGAACGCCGGAAUCGCGGCCAACGCUGCAGGCAGGCUGAUCGGCCGGUACAGGCGCAAUCUGCUUGGAUCGAGAUGCUUGCCGAACAGACUUUCGACCGCCCUGAGCGACAAACGCGGCCGGCCGAGCACCAGCAUCGGCAGUUCCCGGCCGUCGGCCGAGGCAAGGCCGAGCAGAUGCCGGGUGCGAUUGGUCCACUCGCCGUGCGCUGCGAUCCAGGUAGAUGCCCCGGCCUUCGGACGGCGCAUAUCGCCGUAUCGGAUAGCGCUCCACAGGACAGCACAGAUGGCGACCAGCGACGCGACCGCAAACCGCGGAAGAAGGAAAAAACGUGAUCUCGCGGGUUGCGACUCAUGCAGCAAUGCGUCGGCGACCAACUCCUUCGUGAACGGAUCGCGCAGGCUCGUCUCAUCCGUAAAGAGAUCGUCUGGACCAGAGUCAGGCUGCACGGAGCGCCCUUACGUCGCGGAACAGGCGUUUCGACUCCUCGGCAGCCAUUUCGACAUAGCGCCUGACGUUCUCGCGUUCCUCGCCUUGCCAAGCAGAAGCCCUGGCGAUGAGCUGCUCGUCGAGCUCUUCCGGCUCGAUCAUGCGCCAUGCGCCGAGUCCGACGUCCGCAAGCACGGCUUCGAUCUUGGGCGUGUUGCUCGAGAAUGCCAGGACCGGAGUGCCGGCGCAGAGGGCCAGGGUCACCCCGUGAAACCGCCCCGUCACGAGCAGUCCCAGGCUGGACAGGAAGGACAGGUACUCGCCGGGAUCGCGGACGUCGUUUCGAAAGUUCUCGUACGCCUGCGCGAUCCUGAACUUCAGUGGCCUGUGAUCGCCGAGACCAUUCCGAGCGAGGAAAUGGCGCGCCAGGCGCAGCUUGCCUCCGGCUGCCGGCUUUGCCGUCGCGAUCGGCACAAAUCGCCCGUGGAAGCGCUUGCGCAGGCGGUGGAGCGCCAUUGAAUAGGCGGUGUUGACGCUGUCCCCGAAGCCGAUUUCCUCCCGAUUGUUCCCAUCGGCGAGCGGACCGCAGAAGCUCAGGUCUGGCACGAGCAGGCAGUCCGGGCGAACCUUCCGGAUGGCUUCCAAGCUCAUGGACUCGCGGGCGGACAGGAUAUCGAAGUCCCGAAGCGUCUCCUCCAUUGCGCUGUCAUUGGCGAACCAAGAGAAAUUCAGCAGGACGCUCCGCUUUCCCAGUUCCUUCGCAUGAGCCCCCGCGGCCAGCAGCGGGAUCGCUGCCGGACUGCUGUCAUGGAUCGUCCCCUCGCCAUUGACGAUGACGAAAUCCGCGCGUUCGAACGUGCCAGUGAAGUUCGCGUUCGUUCGCCAGUCUCGAUGCGCCGGCGCCGCGCCGAUGAUCUCGAUACCGUUCGCUGCGGCGAGUUCGAAAAUUGUGCGCAUCACCCGGUUGCAGCCGUGAUGCCCGUCGACCCGAGUGUCGUUGAUAAUGACCGCUGACGGCAUCACACCCUCGCCGGGGCAAGGGAUUCUGCCAGGCUCACCAUCCUGGCAAACUGGAAGUCGGCGGUGAGUUCGUUCAGGUGCGACGGGCCAUACCAUCCAUUCAAGCAGGCAUCUCGAACGAAAUCUGCGAUCUGCUCUGCCGAGAAGGUCGCAAUUCCGAGGUUAUGUCGCCGGAUCAAUCGGCCCACGUCAGAGUCCGGUCGAGCCAAUGCAAUCACCGGUUUUCCGCGGAACGCGUACUCGAAGAGCUUUGCCGGAGUGAAGGUACUGUCGAACCAGCUGUCCUCCAUGGCCAGAACGAGGAAGUCCGAAUUUUCCUGGGCCUUGUACGCUUCUUCCCGCGUCAGCUGACCAAGGCCAUCUAGGUCGAUAUUAUAGGCGCCCGCCAGCCGUGCCGCGGCUUCUCUCGAGUCCUGUCCUGCGAGCAUCACCUUCGGCCGGAGUCCAUGCGAUGCUUGAUACUGCGCCAACCCGGCAACAAGAGGUCGCAGGUCACGCCUUCCGCCAUAGAGGCUGCCCGUGUGAACGAAGGUCAAGGAAUCCGGAGGGAUCGGAGGCGUCCAAGGCCUGCGAUCAACCGCUUGUCCAUCCCAACCGUUCAGGACCACGGCGGUCGUGAGGGAGUACUCGGAUCCGUAGAUCUCAGCCGUCGUGUUGGACGCGAACGUCGCAACGUCACACGUCUCCAAGCACUUCCGCUCUAUGCGCUUCAGCAGCUUUCGUGGAGCCAGGGACCGGCCGCGAAAGGGUGAGUCCACCCAAAUGUCGCGGUUGUCGGCGAUCCAGACGAAUUGCUCUCCAGCUUCUCUCCGGCGCCGGCAUAUCUCGUGCAGGACGAACGGAUAGGAGAUGGAAACGACGGCGUCGAACGCCGCCAGGCCGCCGAGCUUGUCGAUCGAGCGACCGACUGCGUUCCACAACAGCCAUGUGUGCUCGGGAAUAAUCAGUCGCCGAAAAAAGGAUCGGGCGAAGUGCCCAAGUCUGCUGCCUUCAGUCUUCGCGAGCGCCCUGCUCAGUCUGCCGGGAUUGUAUUCCUCGACGCGCAGGCCUUCGAGAUUCACGUGAAGGUCGCGCGCCGCGCCCAUGAAGCCGGACUUCAAGACAGUCACAUCCCAACCGGCCUCCUGGAACGCACGCGCGACCUUGAGACCGCGAAGAGAGGAAACGUGGUUGAACGGAGGGAAGGUGUAACAAAGAACAAGAGCUCGCUUCUUGCUCACGCGCUCAUCCGAACGUCGAGCCGUGCCACUGUGUCCGGGCCGACGGUCUCGCAGCUGUAUCCGAGAGCCUCCAGCCGCGCCUGCACCUUGGGCGCCAUCUCGCGCAGAUGGUGGCUUUCGAAGACGAUCAGCUUCGGCUUCCACCUUU